rnacentral:siRNA from 1 species
GAUGUACAAUCCAAGUGUACGAAU